GUAGGGAAUAUUGCACAAUGGAGGAAACUCUGAUGCAGCGACGCCGCGUGAGUGAUGAAGGCCUUCGGGUCGUAAAGCUCUGUCGCAGGGGAAUAACACAAUGAAGGUACCCUGUAAGAAAGGAUCGACUAACUUCGUGCCAGCAGCCGCGGUAAGACGAGGGAUCCUAGCGUUGUUCGGAAUCAUUGGGCGUAAAGCGGAUGUAGGUGGCUAUGUAAGUCAGAUGUGAAAGCCUGGGGCUCAACCCCAGAAGUGCAUUUGAUACUGCGUAGCUUGAGUGUCGGAGAGGUUACUAGAAUUGUUGGUGUAGUGGUGAAAUACGUAGAUAUCAACAGGAAUACCGGAGGCGAAGGCGGGUAACUGGCCGAACACUGACACUGAGAUCCGAAAGCGUGGGGAUCAAACAGGAUUAGAAACCCUGGUAGUCC
rnacentral:rRNA from 1 species